rnacentral:rRNA from 1 species
ACAGAGUUUGAUCCUGGCUCAGAAUGAACGCUGGCGGCGUGCUUAACACAUGCAAGUCGUGCGCGAAGGUGGCUUCGGCCGCCGGAGAGCGGCGAACGGGUGAGUAACACGUGGGUGAUCUGCCUGGGAGCGGGGGAUAACCUGGGGAAACUCGGGCUAAUACCGCAUACGUUGCCGUGGUUGCGACCAGGGCAAGAAAGCUGGCCUCUAUUAUAAGCUAGCACUCCUAGAGGAGCCCGCGUCUGAUUAGCUAGUUGGUGGGGUAAUGGCCUACCAAGGCGACGAUCAGUAGCCGGCCUGAGAGGGUGAUCGGCCACACUGGGACUGAGACACGGCCCAGACUCCUACGGGAGGCAGCAGUGGGGAAUAUUG